rnacentral:rRNA from 1 species
GACGAACGCUGGCGGCGUGCUUAACACAUGCAAGUCGAGCGAUGAAGUUCCUUCGGGAAUGGAUUAGCGGCGGACGGGUGAGUAACACGUGGGUAACUUGCCUCAUAGAGGGGAAUAGCCUUUCGAAAGGAAGAUUAAUACCGCAUAAGAUUGUAGUACCGCAUGGUACAGCAAUUAAAGGAGUAAUCCGCUAUGAGAUGGACCCGCGUCGCAUUAGCUAGUUGGUGAGGUAACGGCUCACCAAGGCGACGAUGCGUAGCCGACCUGAGAGGGUGAGUGGCCACAUUGGGACUGAGACACGGCCCAGACUCCUACGGGAGGCAGCAGUGGGGAAUAUUGCACAAUGGGGGAAACCCUGAUGCAGCAACGCCGCGUGAGUGAUGACGGUCUUCGGAUUGUAAAACUCUGUCUUCAGGGACGAUAAUGACGGUACCUGAGGAGGAAGCCACGGCUAACUACGUGCCAGCCGCCGCCGUAA